ensembl:lncRNA
UCACAGUGUAUUUUGACAAGUGAAAACCUGGUUCAGUCACUGUUUCCCAUGUUGGCGAAAGCUGUGGAGAAAAAUAAGGCAGUUUUGGCAGUUAAAUUUCUAGGGAAAGCACGAGUCUGGAUCAAAGAAAUUAUCAGUGAAGUGGACAGGAUAGUGGAAAAGUAUGAUUUACACAACAAAGAUGUAGCAUCAUCCACCAGUGAUGUUAUCAAGGAAAAAUUAGAUACUGAUAAAAAGAUUACAGAACAAGACCAUCAAAUGAAGCAGACUGAAAAUACUCUGAAUGAUCUGAAAUCAAAACUCCAAAAAAACACUGAAGAGCUUGCUGAAGUUGAGAGAAAGAUAAACUGCAAAAGCCAAGAGAUUCAAGAAUUUGCCAGAUCCAUAACCCAAAAAAGUAAAGGCCUUGGCAUCUUUGCUGCAAUUGUUCCAUUUAUCGGGCCAAUUGUGAAAAGCAUUUAUGAUGCUGUACAUGAUCCUGAAGAUGUUGCCCGUAUAAAGGCUCUUGAAGCUGAAUUGAAUAACCUCAUCGCUGAUAAGACUGCUCUGAGACAAAAGCAGUGGCAGCUCGAACUCCAAGUCAUUGAUUGGCAGAUGAAGUUUGCCAAAGCCAAUUUUGACCGGAAUUCCAUACCCGACCCCAUCCAUCUAAAUGAGGUUCAGAGCAGCUUGUCAAAAAUUCAGGCAAUUCUGAUUCAGCUGAAAAACUUCUGGGAGAAUGUUGCUCAAAUGCUGGACUACCUGGAACAAAAGACCUUUGUUGGAGAAGAUCUUAUUGAAGACCUUGCCGAACUAAAAGAUGAAUUUCUAGAAUCAAUCAAAACAGCGGAAGGGGCUUGGAGCAGUUUUGGUGAAGGCUGUAAAAAAGCAUCUUUCAUCUUCAAGCUCCAAACCAAAGAUGCCUACAAGUUUCUGGAGGUCAGUCCUUCCUCGCUCUCCAAGAAGCAGUGGCAAACAGAAUAUGAAAGUGUAAAGGAAAAACUGACAAAAAUAGACCCACCACAAAGUGUGACACCCUCUAAUACACCUGCCAUUUCUAAGUGAUCUACAUGUACAACUACAACAUCCCAUUUGUUUUCUGUUUCAUGAUGCUGGUAACCCGGGAUGAUAAUGUUUAGCUUUUUAAAUGCUGUACUUGUAAACUCUAGUUCUCUAGUCUUUUCUACUCAAUGCCUAAAACAAUCUUUAUAUAUUCUCUGCUCUGUAUGUAUCAUCUUUUAAUGAGUUCUUGCAAAAAGACUUUUGUUGAAUGCAUAAAUAUUUGGUUGAAUGGUUCUCUGAAUAAAGUUUGACAUAAUAACA